UGGCGUACGGCCCACUAACACGUAGUCAACCUGCCCUGGAGACAUGGAAAACCCCGGGAAACUGGGAUUAAUCCGUGAUAGGUCACCUCAUCUGGAAGGAGAGAUGGCUUAAAGGGGUGCGAGAGCUUCUUUCUUGCAUUCGCUCCAGGAUGGGACUGCGGCCGAUCAGGCUGUUGGCGGUGUAAUGGACCACCAAACCUGUAACCGGUACGGGCCUUGAGAGAGGGGGCCCGGAGAUGGACACUGAGAGAAGGGUCCAGGUCCUACGGGGCGCAGCAGGCGCGAAACCUUCGCAAUGCGCGAAAGCGUGACGAGGUUAAUCCGAGUGGUCCCCGCUGAGGGGAUCUUUUGUUGGCUGUAAAAAGGCCGAUGAAUAAGGGGAGGGCAAGUCUGGUGUCAGCCGCCGCGGUAAUACCAGCUCCUCGAGUGGUCGGGGCGAUUAUUGGGCCUAAAGCAUCCGUAGCCGGUUCUGUAGGUCCUCUGUCAAAUCCAACGGCUUAACCGUUGGCCCGCAGGGGAUACCGCAGGACUAGGAGGCGGGAGAGGUGGACGGUACUCGACGUGUAGGGGUAAAAUCCUUUGAUCCGUCGAAGA
rnacentral:rRNA from 1 species